CUCUGUCCUUCUAUCCUAGCCCUAUGCCCCCCAUCACAACUGCUAUCAACUCACCAGAGCCCUGCCCUGGCACCACAGUACCUAUACCCAAGCUCUGCCCCUUCAUUCCCUCAACACAUUCUGUAUCACCCAACACACACAACAGUCCCAAUGAUCUCAAAAUGCACACUACAGCCAUUAUUCCCUGCACUCAUAAACUACUGACCUGAUCUCCCC